AACCAAAUAAGCUAAAUAAAAGCUUUUGGGUUCAUACCCCAACGAUGGUCCUUCCUUUGGUUA
rnacentral:tRNA from 1 species